GCCAGCAUUGUGCAGUGGUUUGAGUGUUGGACUAUGACUCUAGAGAUGAGGGUUCGGAUCCCUUCUUGGCC